AACGAACGCUGGCGGCAUGCCUAACACAUGCAAGUCGAACGAGACCUUCGGGUCUAGUGGCGCACGGGUGCGUAACGCGUGGGAACCUGCCCUUAGGUUCGGAAUAACUCCCCGAAAGGGGUGCUAAUACCGGAUCAUGUCUUCGGACCAAAGAUUUAUCGCCUUUGGAUGGGCCCGCGUUGGAUUAGCUAGUUGGUAGGGUAAAAGCCUACCAAGGCGACGAUCCAUAGCUGGUCUGAGAGGAUGAUCAGCCACACUGGGACUGAGACACGGCCCAGACUCCUACGGGAGGCAGCAGUGGGGAAUAGUGGACAAUGGGCGAAAGCCUGAUCCAGCAAUGCCGCGUGAGUGAUGAAGGCCGUAGGGUUGUAAAGCGCUUUUAACCGGGAUGAUAAUGACAGUACCGGGAGAAUAAGCUCCGGCUAACUCCGUG
rnacentral:rRNA from 1 species